GACGAACGCUGGCGGCGUGCUUAACACAUGCAAGUCGUACGGUAAGGCCCUUUCGGGGGUUCACGAGUGGCGAACGGGUGAGUAACACGUGAGUAACCUGCCCACAACUUUGGGAUAACGCUAGGAAACUGGUGCUAAUACUGGAUAUGUGCUCCUGCUGCAUGGUGGGGGUUGGAAAGCUCCGGCGGUUGUGGAUGGACUCGCGGCCUAUCCGCUUGUUGGUGGGGUAGUGGCCUACCAAGGCGGCGACGGGUAGCCGGCCUGAGAGGGUGACCGGCCACAUUGGGACUGAGAGACGGCCCAGACGCCUACGGGAGGCAGCAGUGGGGAAUAUUGCACAAUGGGCGCAAGCCUGAUGCAGCAACGCCGCGUGCGGGAUGACGGCCUUCGGGUUGUAAACCGCUUUCAGCAGGGACGAAGCUUUUUGUGACGGUACCUGCAGAAGAAGCACCGGCUAACUACGUG
rnacentral:rRNA from 1 species